GAUGAACGCUGGCGGCGUGCCUAAUACAUGCAAGUCGAGCGAAUGGAUUAAGAGCUUGCUCUUAUGAAGUUAGCGGCGGACGGGUGAGUAACACGUGGGUAACCUGCCCAUAAGACUGGGAUAACUCCGGGAAACCGGGGCUAAUACCGGAUAACAUUUUGAACGGCAUGGUUCGAAAUUGAAAGGCGGCUUCGGCUGUCACUUAUGGAUGGACCCGCGUCGCAUUAGCUAGUUGGUGAGGUAACGGCUCACCAAGGCAACGAUGCGUAGCCGACCUGAGAGGGUGGUCGGCCACACUGGGACUGAGACACGGCCCAGACUCCUACGGGAGGCAGUAGUAGGGGAUCUUCCGCAAUGGACGAAAGUCUGACGGAUCAACGCCGCGUGAGUGAUGAAGGCUUUCGGGUCGUAAAACUCUGUUGUUAGGGAAGAACAAGUGCUAGUUGAAUAAGCUGGCACCUUGACGGUACCUAACCAGAAAGCCACGGCUAACUACGUGCCAGCAGCCGCAGUAA
rnacentral:rRNA from 1 species